rnacentral:misc_RNA from 1 species
AAUGACCAGAAGCCUCGGCAAUCAACGCCCCGAUACGCUAGCCGCCGCUACGUGCGCGUUGCGCUAUCCACGAUUGUGGGUUGCCUCCUCUGCCCCACGUGGACUCUGCAAUCUUGCGCGAGCUGAGCGUGAAUGGAUGAGGCGACCCUCAACACGCUGCUCCUCAGUGGUGAAUGCGAUGUUCAGUGGGGCUCGCGAGGCACGCUGACGGUCCGCCGCACUGUUGAGCUGCACUCCAACAACAUCCUUUACUGCUUCGAGGAGCCGAAGAACUCGAUGGCGAAGCACAUUAGGGAAAAGGUGUACGUGGAGGGUUGCCACGUUGUCGACGGUGGCGCCUACAACGACGCAGGCGAGCGACUGCUUCUGUUUUUGGCUAACCAUGACUACUCCGAGAAGGUCGAUCUGCUCGGCAACCACCAAGCCUACAUAUUCGCUGCAGAGCAGACGACUCACAAUGCGCCACUGGGACAGGCUACACAACGUUCAUCGAUGUCGACGCUGCCGAACGCCAACUACAUGGUGCAGCUUUUUCUCUGCGAUAAAAUGGUCAAGUGGCGCCUGCUACAGGCGAUUCAGAGAGCCUCAAAGGAGUAUCUGCAGCUGUUUCCGGACACGGACACAGCACUCGCACUGUCCGCGGCGCGAACGGUGGGCGACGGCUGCAUACACGCAGGACGGCCGACGGUAGCGGGGCCGCCGGCCUCCGGUGUACCGAACCCCUUCGAGUCGAAGGUACUGGCCCGGCCCUCCGCCAACCCUUACCACUCACGCACGGAGUCCGGCAUCAGCGUCUUGUCCGAUCACGAGGUGCUGCAGCUGUCGGACGUGCUACGCGAGUACGAGGCACUCCAGGAAAGCAAAAGAAGGUUAGGUGCCGUGAUGACCUCAUCUCCGCCGCAGCCGAAGGGAGAGGAGGAGGGCGUGCGCAAAUCCACAUCGGAUGACCAGGGCUUGGAGGCGGCGGCGUGCGUGGCGGGAAAUGCAGCGGAAUUAGCCGUGACACUGUCUGAGUUGCAGUCUAGAGCACCAGCACGCCUCCAGCACUCUCCUCUCUACGAGAGGUGCAUCAAGAGCAAACCAGCCAACAAGAUCUGUGCGGACUGCGGCGAGCCUUUCCCGUCAUGGUGCAUCCUGCAGCCGUUUGGCGCCUUUGUGUGCAUCCAGUGCAUCGGCGUGCAUCGAAAGCUGUGGUCGAACAAGUGCCGUAGCGCAGAGCUCGACCGGUGGCCAGACAGCGACAUCGAGUUCAUGAAGGCACGUGGCAACGACGUCGUGAACGACGAGUUGGAGUACUACGUGGCUCUUCCGAGUGACAGUGUUGAGUUUGCGUUGCACGCACAGCCGGUCGUGAAGCCCGUGCUGUCGUUUUCCUCCGCUGAGGUGCGUGAGUCGUUCCUUCGGUGGAAGUACGAAGAGCUGUUCUUUACACGGAGGCGGCACCCGACUGCGACAAGGCCGCUGCCGCCGCUCCCAGACCCGGCUGGGCUCGAACGCUCUCGCCUUGCUACCACCACUGCCACUUCAGAGGCGGAGGGCUACGCCAGCGCCGUCUCUUUUGGCGCCGCCGCACGACUUCAGCAGCAGCCAUUCUUUCUUGACCAGGGCCCUCCACGAUAUGCGGGGCUGCUAGACAUUGUUGUCAAAGAGCUGGUGGGACCGGAGUCGAUUAAGGGCGCAGUAUGCGUGCUGACAAACGGCUUUCAAACUCUCCGCACUCAGGAAAGCCGCCAGCUGCUGCAUAUGCGACACUCCACCGCGUGGGAUGAGCACCUGCAGGUUGGCAUAGAGGGGGCAGGACAGAAGCCGCUCUACUGCACCGUGUAUCGCGGGAGAGGGGAACUGCUGGCCGCUGCAGAGAUGUGGAUGAAAGGGGACGUUUUCCAGCCAGGCACCAGCUGCAUGUUCGCCUUGAAGCUGGUCUGGAGUCAGCUCCACAAGAAGCCCAGCCAGCGUACGCCGGGAGAGUCGUGGACGAUUACGUUCUUGACCUCGUACCAACGGCUGGCGUGAAUCUCGAAGUGACGUCGUUCUCUCCCCCUCCCCUCGCCAUUUCUCUGCUGUCGCCGUGAGCCUCCUUCGCACACGCACACUCUGCCCUCCCAACUUUCCAUCACCCACACACACGCUGCUGUGUACAUGAUAUGGGCUC